rnacentral:rRNA from 1 species
UACGAAGGGGGCUAGCGUUGCUCGGAAUCACUGGGCGUAAAGGGUGCGUAGGCGGGUCUUUAAGUCGAGGGUGAAAUCCUGGAGCUCAACUCCAGAACUGCCUUUGAUACUGAAGAUCUUGAGUUCGGGAGAGGUGAGUGGAACUGCGAGUGUAGAGGUGAAAUUCGUAGAUAUUCGCAAGAACACCAGUGGCGAAAGCGGCUCACUGGACCACAACUGACGCUGAUGCACGAAAGCUAGGGGAGCAAACAGG